GACGAACGCUGGCGGCGUGCUUAACACAUGCAAGUCGAACGGAAAGGCCCUGCUUUUGUUGGUUUCUCGAUUGGCGAACGGGUGAGUAACACGUGAGUAACCUGCCCUUGACUUUGUGAUAACUUCAGGAAACUGGGGCUAAUACCGGAUAGGAGCUCCUGCUGCAUGUUGGGGGUUGGAAAGUUUCGGCGGUACGGGAUGGACUCGCGGCUUAUCAGCUUGUUUGUGGGGUAGGUGCUUACCAAGGCUUUGACGGGUAGCCUGCCUGAGAGCGUUAACGGCCACAUUGGGACUGAGAUACGGAGCAGACUCCUACGGGAGGCAGCAGUGGGGAAUAUUGCACAAUGGGGGGAAGCCUGAUGCAGCAACGCCGCGUGCGGGAUGACGGCCUUCGGGUUGUAAACCGCUUUCGCCUGUGACGAAGCGGGCGUGACGGUAAUGGGUAAAGAAGCACCGGCUAACUACGUG
rnacentral:rRNA from 1 species